CUACGGGGUGCUGCAGUGAGGAAUAUUGCACAAUGGGGGGAACCCUGAUGCAGCAACGCCGCGUGGAGGAUGACGCAUUUCGGUGUGUAAACUCCUUUUAUAUGUCAAGAAAAUGACGGUAGCAUAUGAAUAAGCACCGGCUAACUCCGUGCCAGCAGCCGCGGUAAUACGGAGGGUGCAAGCGUUACUCGGAAUCACUGGGCGUAAAGGACGCGUAGGCGGGUUGGAAAGUCAGGUGUGAAAUCCUACAGCUUAACUGUAGAACUGCACUUGAAACUUCUAAUCUAGAGUAUGGAAGGGGGAGAUGGAAUUAGUGGUGUAGGGGUAACAUCCGUAGAUAUCACUAGGAAUACCUAAAGCGAAGGCGAUCUCCUGGAACAUUACUGACGCUGAGGCGUGAAAGCGUGGGGAGCAAACAGGAUUAGAUACCCCGGUAGUC
rnacentral:rRNA from 1 species